UGCCAGACUCCUACGGGAGGCAGCAGUGGGGGAUAUUGCACAAUGGGGGGAACCCUGAUGCAGCGACGCCGCGUGGGUGAAGGAGCGUUUCGGCGCGUAAAGCCCUAUCGGCAGGGAAGAAGGAGGACGGUACCUGACUAAGAAGCCCCGGCUAACUACGUGCCAGCAGCCGCGGUAAUACGUAGGGGGCAAGCGUUAUCCGGAUUUACUGGGUGUAAAGGGGGCGCAGACGGCAGCGCAAGCCAGGAGUGAAAGCCCGGGGCUCAACCCUGGGACUGCUCUGGAAACUGUAAAGCUGGAGUGCGGGAGGGGCAGGCGGAAUUCCUGGUGUAGCGGUGAAAUGCGUAGAUAUCAGGAGGAACACCGGCGGCGAAGGCGGCCUGCUGGACCGUAACUGACGUUGAGGCUCGAAAGCGUGGGGAGCAAACAGGAUUAGAUACCCCUGUAGA
rnacentral:rRNA from 1 species